rnacentral:lncRNA from 1 species
UCAGGUUCUCACUGCGCCUACGAGGAGUCCCUAGAUUCCCUAAAUUUUUUUUUCGGAAACUAAAACAAACUUCUAGUACCUGUACAUGUCCCCAAAAAAAUCCCAAAUCAAAUGCAGGGCCCUUUCGGCCAAUUCUAGAAUUUCGGCGCGGCGGCGAUCUGCCUUGGGUUGACCGUUUUUGGCCGAAUUCGGUCAAACUUGCAUUAGUUCCUGUGAUAAAACACCCCUAAGGCCCUCAGUGGGCCAAAAAAUUAUAGAAAAUCGAGACCUACCAGCAGCGGGGCUCUCGGAAGCCACAGCUCCUCCGGCGCGAGUUGCGAUUUGGUGUUUUGCUACAGUCAACCUGUAGAGAAAAGGACGAUGGUCACAGUGAUAUAAAAAUUACAUUGAACGGGAACCAGGAAGGGCCUAAUCAGAGGUAAAAAUCGAGGAAACCCGCAGCUGCGCCACUAGAAUUCGGUGGUGUUU